rnacentral:rRNA from 1 species
AUGAUGUAUGACAAGCACAAGGGGAUUUUUGCAGCGGAGGUUGAUGAUGUAGUAGGGAAGUUUGGACAAGGUUUAAAGGGAUUGCAGUGCAACCGGAUGGCCGCUCUGCUUCAUGAUGUAGGAGACGCCAUCACAGCUUCCGAUGAGCCCAACAUUUCCUUUGCAACACCUACCAUGGAUGAAAAUCAACAGAAAGAGAGUGAUGCUCAAGCUGCAAACGUCGGCAUUGAUGGUCAAGCUGAGGUUGAAGCUGCAAUACCUAUCAUGAACAAGGAUCAAGUCAAUGGGGAGCUGAAAAAGAACCAAGAAGUUGCAAUAGAGGUCGCUGAAACUCAUGAGCAACAAAGGGUGAGUUUUGAGAUAGAAGGCAACGUCUCACCUCGGAACCCCCACACUUCUGUGAUGCACCCAGGAGUGCAACAACCGGCAUUUGGGACAAUGAGCCAUCAUUCGAGUUGUUCCCAAAGGGCUCCGAAGAUUAUGAGUUGA